rnacentral:rRNA from 1 species
AUGGACGAUGUUGCGCCGCCGACCAUGGACUGGUCGUUGCUGCCCCUCGAUGCGUUGUCCUUGAUCUUCGUCAGGCUCGGCGCCGUCGACGUCCUGAUGGGCGCCGGCCUCGUGUGUCACUCCUGGCUCAUGGCGGCGAAGUUGCCGGAGGUGUGGCGAUCUAUCGACAUGGACAAACACGAGGUUGUGCUUCUAAAGGGCGAUGGUGUCCUGUGUCAGAUGGCGAAGGCAGCUGUCGACCGUUCCGACGGACAGCUCAGGGAGUUCGCCGGGAGGCUGUUUGUCACUGAUGAGCUCAUCAAGUAUAUCGUGGAAAGGUCACCCUCACUGACUACCCUUCGGCUUGUAUCAUGCUUCGGGGUCUUCAGCAAACAACUCGCCAAUGUUAUAAAAGAGUCACCUCUGCUGGAGCUGCAUUCCCUUGAACUUGAAAACAUUGACCUCAUCGUGAGAAAAUUGACCGCUGUCCUUGAGAGCUGCCCUGUCCUGGAAGUUCUUGGCUUGCAGUAUUGUUUCUUGAUUGGCUCCAAUGAUGAGCAUGCCUUGCGGGCGGAAUUCACUAGGAUCAAGAUCACAACGCUCAAGUGGGAUAAUGAGUGCCGCGACUAG